rnacentral:snoRNA from 1 species
AGGACAAAUCAUUCACUAAACCCUAAACCUCAACUAAAUCUUGUAAUGAAGAAAUAAUGAUGAAGAUUUUAGAUAUUCCUUUCAGAGCGUGUCUCGUGGCUAGGAGUGACUUUGCUCAUUUUCGUUCCCACCAUUGACGACUGUUGCUUGUUCUCAAUGGGAUUUGGAUGAAGGAAACAUGUUCUGAGU